rnacentral:sRNA from 2 species
GUACAGAAAAAGAAGAAAGCAGGAAACCUACUAGUUAACGCAUCCAACUGCGGCUUGGUUGUUGGAGUGGCUGGGUUCAAUGGCGCUGAUGAGAAGGCUACGCACAGACACCAUCUACGGCUGAGUGGAUUCGUUGGUGCUGUUGUUCCAUGGUGAUCAUGUUUCCAUCGAAUGAAACUGCAUCGAUAACUAUCAGCGUUUGCUACAAGCAUACAGAUAUGACCUGUGAAACGGAUGAUGUUCAUUGAUCUCCCAAAGAAACUUAGUAUCGGAAGUUCCGCCUUGAAAAAGUAACACUGAGGAAUAGCUAUUUUCUCCGCGGGCACGUAGACAUUCAAGUUUUCAGGAUAACCGAGCAUCAUGAACACCGAAAUAUGGUUGAUUUGAAGAAGAACAGUAGAAAAGGAGAAGAAAAGAAAAAAGUACAAAGACUUGGCAGUUCACACAAACCAAGUUACUUCUCCCAUUCGCCCAAUUACAAACGCAAAGAAACCGCUUAGAACGGAGGCGGAACCUGGAGUUUUCUCAACUGCCAACCAGCGACGACGGCGCUUAUUAGUGAGUACCUUUUCCUUUCUGUUCGUUUCGUUUUGAAAGAUUUCGUUUGGAAUCUGAGAGGCCCACAUCGACGCCUAACUCCAUAAAAUAAUAUACAGCCCCUCCAAAAGACCGCAAGGAGGAGGAUAAGGGUGUCCUACCAGGAAAAUGAUAAAUGCUUUAUUUUACUCAUACGCUAGAACUCUGUUGCUUGUUAUCUAGACAACAACCAUAUACCAACAUACGGUGCAAUUUCAAUAUCAGUUCGCAAUAGGUGUGUCAAAAAUUAUAGUU